rnacentral:tRNA from 3 species
AUUUCUUAUUUAUAUAGUUUAAAAAAAACAUUAUAUUUUCACUGUAAAAUUAAAUAUUUAUUAUUUUAUAA